rnacentral:lncRNA from 10 species
CCGGCGAUGGAAAGCAGUCAACUCAUGGGUAGUAAAAAGAAUGUAUUGACAACACUAUAGGUUUGAAAAGGAAAGUUUUAUUAGAUGGAAAGAACAGUGCAGAAGACCGCAGCAGAGGACCUCAGCAAGAGAGAACUAAGUAUAUCAUGGUGGAUUUUUCCUAAGGGGAAUGGUCAAUUACAAAGCACAACAUAAGACUGGAACAUUGGAGUUAAGUAGCAGAGAUCAAAAGAGGAGAUUGCAGAUGGAGGUGUUGUAUGUGACUGUUUUACAUGGAUUCUUCGCUCUGGUAGCAGAUGUUGAAGAAGCUCUAUGAAUGUCCUGUCUCUAUGUCCCAGGUUGUCAGUUUCAAAUACUCAUGUAUCUGAUUGUCAAUGCUGGAGAGCUGGGGCCAGGGCAGUAGUUGAUGAAUAUCACCUGACUGUCUCCUGCAGAAAAAGCAUUCCCAGAAGCACGGAGAAGUGAGGAGAAAAGGCAAUGCACCUGGAGCUGGAGACCAAGGCCCUGUUCUUACUGAUGGCCCUUGGAGCAGAUAUUUGAAUUGGAGAGAUAAAACCGUGGUUUUUGGGGUGUUAAUUUUGGUGGCUGAUGCAUUCUGUGAUUGAUUUGGCUAUUACAACUGGUAUUGAUUUUAAACACAUUAAUUGCAAAAUCUCAAUUGUGAUUUGAUUAGAGAAAGAGAGGAGAGUGGAAGAAAAAAGAGAGGGAGAGGAGAAAGAAAGAGAGGAGAGAGAAACAUGGGCAUGGAUGAUACAUAAGGUAGUUGUAAACUGUGAUCAGCUUUGAUAAUAACUAGAUAAAUUCUUUUAAUACAAAAAUAUAUAAGGCAUUUUGCC